rnacentral:rRNA from 1 species
GCGCAAGCCUGAUCCAGCAAUGCCGCGUGAGUGAAGAAGGCCUUCGGGUUGUAAAGCUCUUUCAGUUGAGAAGAAAAAAUUCUGGCUAAUACCNGGNNUUNAUGACGGUAUCGACAGAAGAAGCACCGGCUAACUACGUGCCAGCAGCCGCGGUAAUACGUAGGGUGCAAGCGUUAAUCGGAAUUACUGGGCGUAAAGGGUGCGCAGGUGGUUUUGUAAGUCAGAUGUGAAAUCCCCGGGCUUAACCUGGGAAUUGCGUUUGAAACUACAAGACUAGAGUGUGGCAGAGGGGGGUGGAAUUCCAUGUGUAGCAGUGAAAUGCGUAGANAUAUGGAAGAACAUCGAUGGCGAAGGCAGNCCCCUGGGUUAACACUGACACUCAUGCACGAAAGCGUGGGGAGCAAACAGGAUUAGAUACCCUGGUAGUCCACGCCCUAAACUAUGUCAACUAGUUGUUGGGUCUUAUUAGACUUAGGUAACGAAGCUNACGCGUGAAGUUGACCGCCUGGGGAGUACGGUCGCAAGAUUA